rnacentral:rRNA from 1 species
GAUGAACGCUGGCGGCGUGCCUAAUACAUGCAAGUCGAGCGAAUGGAUUGAGAGCUUGCUCUUAUGAAGUUAGCGGCGGACGGGUGAGUAACACGUGGGUAACCUGCCCAUAAGACUGGGAUAACUCCGGGAAACCGGGGCUAAUACCGGAUAACAUUUUGAACCGCAUGGUUCGAAAUUGAAAGGCGGCUUCGGCUGUCACUUAUGGAUGGACCCGCGUCGCAUUAGCUAGUUGGUGAGGUAACGGCUCACCAAGGCAACGAUGCGUAGCCGACCUGAGAGGGGGAUCGGCCACACUGGGACUGAGACACGGCCCAGACUCCGACGGGAGGCAGCAGUAGGGAAUCUUCCGCAAUGGACGAAAGUCUGACGGAGCAACGCCGCGUGAGUGAGGAAGGCUUUCGGGUCGUAAAACUCUGUUGUUAGGGAAGAACAAGUGCUAGUUGAAUAAGCUGGCACCUUGACGGUACCUAACCAGAAAGCCACGGCUAACUACGUGCCAGCAGCCGCAGUAA